GAUAGCUGGUUCUCCCCGAAAUAGCUUUAGGGCUAGCCUCAGGGAAAAGAUUGCAGGCGGUAGAGCACUGAUCAGGAGAGGGACCUACCCGGUUACCAAACCCAGUCAAACUCCGAAUGGCUGUAAUCAUACCUGGGAGUCAGACUGCGACUAAUAAGGGCCGUAGUCAAAAGGGAAACAGCCCAGACCAUCAGCUAAGGUCCCCAAUGCCGUGCUAAGUGGCGAAGGAUGUGGCAUUUCAUAAACAACCAGGAUGUUGGCUCAGAAGCAGCCACCAUUUAAAGAGUGCGUAAUAGCUCACUGGUCGAGAGACGCUGCGCCGAAAAUGUCCGGGGCUCAAGCACGGAACCGAAGCUAUGGCAUGAUAGCAAUAUCAUGGGUAGGGGAGCGUUCUUAUAAGGAAGAAGCAUGACCGGAAGGACAUGUGGACAAAUAAGAAGUGAGAAUGCCGGUAUGAGUAUCGAAAAGAAAGGUGAGAAUCCUUUCCACCGAAAGCCCGAGGGUUCCUGAGCAACGAUCGUCGACUCAGGGUAAGUCGGGACCUAAGCCGAGGCGAGAAGCGUAGGCGAUGGACAACAGGUUGAAAUUCCUGUACCGGAUCAAGUCGAUUGAGCGAAGGAGCGACGCAGGAGGGCACAUGAUCGCGCGGCUGGAAGAGCGCGUCCAAGUGCGUAUGUUGCAGCAGAGGAAAACCCCUGCAGCUAAAAGCAGAGACAUGAUGGGGAGUUAAAGGAAACUUUGACGAACUCAUGGAUCCCACACUGCCAAGAAAAACUUCUAGCGAGACAAGAUCCGCCCGUACCGUAAACCGACACAGGUAGGCGGGGAGAGAAUCCUAAGGUGCGCGGGAAAACCCUCGUUAAGGAACUCGGCAAAUUGCAUCCGUAACCUAGGGAGAAGGAUGGCCCCCGGUCAGUGAAGAGCAGAAACGCUCAGAGCUAAAAGGGGCGGCAGAAAAGAGGCCCAAGCAACUGUUUACCAAAAACACAGGUGCCUGCGAAAGCGAAAGCUGAAGUAUAGGUGCUGACGCCUGCCCGGUGCCGGAAGGUUAAGGAGAGAAGUUAGCGAAAGCGAAGCAUCGAACUGAAGCCCCGGUGAACGGCGGCCGUAACUAUAACGGUCCUAAGGUAGCGAAAUUCCUUGUCGGGUAAGUUCCGACCCGCAUGAAAGGCGUAAUGAUUUGGGCACUGUCUCAACGAGGGGCCCGGUGAAAUUGAAAUACCUGUGAAGAUGCAGGUUACCCGCGACUGGACAGAAAGACCCCAUGGAGCUUCACUGCAGCUUGAGAUUGAAUCCCGGUGACAGAUGCACAGGAUAGGUGGGAGGCGCCGAAGCAUUGCCCUAGGGCGGUGCGGAGCCGAUGUUGGGAUACCACCCUUCUGUUGCUGAGAUUCUAACGCGAGGAGUAACGACCCUGCGGACCCUCUCAGGCAGGCGGUUUGACUGGGGCGGUCGCCUCCGAAAGAGUAACGGAGGCGCCCAAAGGUUCCCUCAGGCCGGACAGAAACCGGCCGAAGAGUGCAAAGGCAGAAGGGAGCUUGACUGCGAGACCAACAAGUCGAGCAGAGACGAAAGUCGGGCUUAGUGAUCCGGUGGUACUGAGUGGAAAGGCCAUCGCUCAACGGAUAAAAGCUACCCUGGGGAUAACAGGCUAAUCUCUCCCAAGAGUUCAUAUCGACGGGGAGGUUUGGCACCUCGAUGUCGGCUCAUCACAUCCUGGGGCUGGAGUAGGUCCCAAGGGUUGGGCUGUUCGCCCAUUAAAGUGGUACGCGAGCUGGGUUCAAAACGUCGUGAGACAGUUUGGUUCAUAUCCAUCGCGGGCGCAAGAAGUUUGAGAGGAGCUGCUCCUAGUACGAGAGGACCGGAGUGGACGGAUCAACGGUGUCCCAGUUGUCACGCCAGUGGCACGGCUGGAAAGCCGCAUCCGGGAAGGAUAAACGCUGAAAGCAUCUAAGCGUGAAGCCAACCUCAAGAU
rnacentral:rRNA from 1 species